rnacentral:lncRNA from 1 species
CUCACCUAGAUCAUGGUCGGAUAAAAGGAAGAGAGCAUCUCGAUCACCGGCCAACUCCUCAAGAGCUCCCGAUCGGUCGGGAGAAUGGUUGCCUAACACAACCUCCUAGCCAAACUGUGGUUGGUCAAGGCCGACGUUCCUUCGGGAACCUGAGAGUCGGACGACGCGAUGCGGUCCCCCGACCUUGUGUCGUCCGCCGGCACCAUCGGAGCCUUCCCCCGAUCGGUCAUCCAGGCC